rnacentral:rRNA from 1 species
GACGAACGCUGGCGGCGUGCUUAACACAUGCAAGUCGAACGGAAAGGCCCUGCUUUUGUGGGGUGCUCGAGUGGCGAACGGGUGAGUAACACGUGAGUAACCUGCCCUUGACUUUGGGAUAACUUCAGGAAACUGGGGCUAAUACCGGAUAGGAGCUCCUGCUGCAUGGUGGGGGUUGGAAAGUUUCGGCGGUUGGGGAUGGACUCGCGGCUUAUCAGCUUGUUGGUGGGGUAGUGGCUUACCAAGGCUUUGACGGGUAGCCGGCCUGAGAGGGUGACCGGCCACAUUGGGACUGAGAUACGGCCCAGACUCCUACGGGAGGCAGCAGUGGGGAAUAUUGCACAAUGGGCGGAAGCCUGAUGCAGCAACGCCGCGUGCGGGAUGACGGCCUUCGGGUUGUAAACCGCUUUCGCCUGUGACGAAGCGUGAGUGACGGUAAUGGGUAAAGAAGCACCGGCUAACUACGUGCCAGCAGCCGCGGUGAUACGUAGGGUGCGAGCGUUGUCCGGAUUUAUUGGGCGUAAAGGGCUCGUAGGUGGUUGAUCGCGUCGGAAGUGUAAUCUUGGGGCUUAACCCUGAGCGUGCUUUCGAUACGGGUUGACUUGAGGAAGGUAGGGGAGAAUGGAAUUCCUGGUGGAGCGGUGGAAUGCGCAGAUAUCAGGAGGAACACCAGUGGCGAAGGCGGUUCUCUGGGCCUUUCCUGACGCUGAGGAGCGAAAGCGUGGGGAGCGAACAGGCUUAGAUACCCUGGUAGUCCACGCUGUAAACGGUGGGUACUAGGUGUGGGGUCCAUUCCACGGGUUCCGUGCCGUAGCUAACGCUUUAAGUACCCCGCCUGGGGAGUACGGCCGCAAGGCUAAAACUCAAAGGAAUUGACCGGGCCCCGCACAAGCGGCGGAGCAUGCGGAUUAAUUCGAUGCAACGCGUAGAACCUUACCUGGGUUUGACAUGGAUCGGGAGCGCUCAGAGAUGGGUGUGCCUCUUUUGGGGUCGGUUCACAGGUGGUGCAUGGCUGUCGUCAGCUCGUGUCGUGAGAUGUUGGGUUAAGUCCCGCAACGAGCGCAACCCUUGUUCACUGUUGCCAGCACGUUAUGGUGGGGACUCAGUGGAGACCGCCGGGGUCAACUCGGAGGAAGGUGGGGAUGACGUCAAGUCAUCAUGCCCCUUAUGUCCAGGGCUUCACGCAUGCUACAAUGGCUGGUACAGAGAGUGGCGAGCCUGUGAGGGUGAGCGAAUCUCGGAAAGCCGGUCUCAGUUCGGAUUGGGGUCUGCAACUCGACCUCAUGAAGUCGGAGUCGCUAGUAAUCGCAGAUCAGCAACGCUGCGGUGAAUACGUUCCCGGG